rnacentral:lncRNA from 1 species
AGUUCGGGAGCGGCAGCAGAGGGGGCAUAGACACUCUGAGCAGCCUCGGCGUCUCCUCAGCAUUCCUGACUGUGGCCCGCAGUGCCCGACUCCUGGGUUCUCACUGAAGACGCUGCGCGCUGCUGCUUGGGGAGGGGGUGUGGAGCCGGUUCUGCGACCGCAGUGGCUGUCGUCGGGGGUCGACCGAGCGCUGAGGUGUGGAGAGCCUCGCCCGGGGUCGAGCCGAUAACAGGGUUCGGGUGUCUGGUGUGUGACCAUCACAGGGUUUGUGGAUGCACUUAGAUGUUUGCAAUGAGCACUGUGGCUGGCAUGCCCCAGUAUUUUGGAUACCAAUGCAUAGGACUCCAUAGUAAUCGGAUUUACCAGAGGCGAACGUCAUGAGCAUAGCGAUCCCAUUGGGGGUUGAUACAACAGAAACAUCCUACUUGGAAAUGGCUGCAGGCUCAGAGUAAGUAUUUAAAACAGGUAUUUUAGAUAGGGGAAGGCAAAGUAUUUCAUGCAGUCGUCACAUCUAAAUAGUGUUUAUUUGCAUAUGUCGUUUUGCAUUUUUGGCUAAGACAUCAGAAAUUAAAAGGGCAACAUUCCUUUAAGAUUGCUUUUAAUAAAUAACCUUUGUUCCAAAAUUCUGUCUUUUGGGAAUAUGUUUUUUGUAUUUUCCACUUGCAGAACUUCCCCAUUUUCAAGAAAAUAGUUUUUCUUUUGUGUUGCCUGAAAGUAUAUAUCCUUAGGCAUAAUUUUCCCUGAGUAAAGAAACAUAGUGGGGUUGGGGAUUUAGCUCAGUGGCAGAGCCACUGGGUUCGGUCCCCAGCUCCGAAA